rnacentral:rRNA from 1 species
AGCAUAUCAAUAAGCGGAGGUAAAAGAAACCAACAGGGAUUGCCCUAGUAACGGCGAGUGAAGCGGCAACAGCUCAAAUUUGAAAUCUGGCUCUUUUAGAGUCCGAGUUGUAAUUUGCAGAGGGCGCUUUGGCUUUGGCAGCGGUCCAAGUUCCUUGGAACAGGACGUCACAGAGGGUGAGAAUCCCGUACGUGGUCGCUGGCUAUUGCCGUGUAAAGCCCCUUCGACGAGUCGAGUUGUUUGGGAAUGCAGCUCUAAAUGGGAGGUACAUUUCUUCUAAAGCUAAAUAUUGGCCAGAGACCGAUAGCGCACAAGUAGAGUGAUCGAAAGAUGAAAAGCACUUUGGAAAGAGAGUCAAACAGCACGUGAAAUUGUUGAAAGGGAAGCGCUUGCAGCCAGACUUGCUUGCAGUUGCUCAUCCGGGCUUUUGCCCGGUGCACUCUUCUGCAGGCAGGCCAGCAUCAGUUUGGGCGGUAAGAUAAAGGUCUCUGUCACGUACCUCUCUUCGGGGAGGCCUUAUAGGGGAGACGACAUAUUACCAGCCUGGACUGAGGUCCGCGCAUCUGCUAGGAUGCUGGCGUAAUGGCUGUAAGCGGCCCGUCUUGAAACACGGACCAAGGAGUCUAACAUCUAUGCGAGUGUUUGGGUGUCAAGCCCGAGCGCGUAAUGAAAGUGAACGGAGGUAGGAACCCGCAAGGGUGCACUAUCGACCGAUCCUGAUGUCUUCGGAAGGAUUUGAGUAAGAGCAUGGCUGUUGGGACCCGAAAGAUGGUGAACUAUGCUUGAAUAGGGUGAAGCCAGAGGAAACUCUGGUGGAGGCUCGCAGCGGUUCUGACGUGCAAAUCGAUCGUCAAAUUUGGGCAUAGGGGCGAAAGACUAAUCGAACUAUCUAGUAGCU